GGGUGCGAUCAUACCAGUGUUAAUGCACCGGAUCCCAUCAAAACUCCGCAGUCAAGCACGCUUGGGGUAGUGUAGUACUGGGAUGAGUUUCCUCGCGGGAAGUCCUAGUGUUGCGCCCU
rnacentral:rRNA from 1 species